AUUCCGUCAACUUCAAGCCCAGCACUAUUGGAAUACCCACAUUCCGAAACCACUAUUCUUUUUCACCAACAGAAAGUAGAUAUAUUUAAUACAUAAAAUCACAAAAAGUAGAAAGUUCUCUAAAAUGGACUAUCAAAGUUCCUUCAAAAUCCGCGCUCUUGUUCAACAACUUCGUCCUCAUGUUCUCGAGGUCGUUCACACCCCUGACUUUCGAAGCUGUAAAGGGGCUGAUGAAAUUCGUAAAAAGAUGAAGCUUCUAAUGGAUCUAUACAAAGAGAUGACACUGGAGACGCACAAAUAGGGAAGGCUGUGUCAGAAUAUCAUCUACCGCCACACAAACGUGCAAAGCUGCUUCACCCUAGUUGUGGAUAAAGCUGUGCAAGGUAAACCUUCAAAAACAACAUGUUUCAGCUCAGAUAAGUAACAUAGUGGGCUACAGGGAAGCUACAUUGUUGGUGGCUCAGCUUUUGGUAUUAAUUUCAUUACAUUUACAGGCAGUAAACCUUCAUAUUACGGGGUGACAAAAGAGUCUUUUCGAAGCAGCCACAAGUAGUUUUGAUGAGUAUCACAAAAACACUAUCAAACAGUUCCAAAUGAAGCAGCCAUACAAAAGCUACCUACUAUAUAGUAUAGACAUUUUUUUCAAAAAAACUCCUCUUUGCAAUUCAGAAAGAGAGAGAGAGAGAGAGAGAGGGAGGGGAGGAGGAGGAGGACAAAUGAGGUUUCCUCUAUCUGGAUGGAGGAAAAAUUGGUUAUUAAGGUUUUCUUGCAUCCUCGUGCUUUGUGAAGAAAUAUUAGAAAUGCUAAGGGUAAACAAAACCACAGUUACAUUCAACGUGACACCAUCAGAAACCCUCAUAACUUUUUGUUUUUUGGUGAAGCAAAUUAACAAAGGAAUGAUUUGAGUAAUAGUUUAGUUUUUGAUGCAAUACCUUAAAAUUAUUUUUUUUUUUCCCCUUCUUAAUGCAGAAGUCUUUGUCUUCAUUUUUUUUCCCAUGGCAAUAGAUGCACUGCAUGCCUCAAGACGUUAAAAAUUAAACUAAAAAUAGUUUAAAUACCAAAAUAUACCAAACGUUGAAGUUUAAAGACAAAAAAAAAUAAUAAUAAAAUAAACUAAAAUAAUAAUAAUAAUAAUAAUAAUAAUGAUAAUAAUCCUGGGCUCGAAAUGCAAAUGCGAACACAGUUUAGGGAGACAAUGCAAUGAUUUUCCAAUCGUUUCGAUUCUGGGUAUGACUUAAAAAAUUAAUGUACAUGUGAUGACGUGGUCCACUGGUCGCAAUGAAGGUUUUCUCAAAAUUAAUAGCUCAAAGAGUUGCGACAUCUUCAAAUUAAAUAAAUUGAGUAAUCUACAGAAUGCACAUAAUAAAAAAAAAAAAAGAGAAAAAAAAAGAAAAAAGAAAAAGAAAAA